rnacentral:rRNA from 1 species
CGACAGGCGUAGUCGAUGGACAACCGGUUGAUAUUCCGGUACCCGCUUUGAAGCGCCAAACAUCGAAUCCAUUAAUGCUAAGGCCGUGAAGCCGCCCUGAGCUCUUCGGAGCAUAGGGGAGUGGUGGAGCCGCUGACCCAAGGUGGUAGUAGGUGAGUGAUGGGGUGACGCAGGAAGGUAGUCCAGCCCGGGCGGUGGUUGUCCCGGGGUAAG